GUGGGGAAUCUUAGACAAUGGGGGAAACCCUGAUCUAGCCAUGCCGCGUGAUCGAUGAAGGCCUUAGGGUUGUAAAGAUCUUUCGCUGGGGAAGAUAAUGACUGUACCCAGUAAAGAAGCCCCGGCUAACUCCGUGCCAGCAGCCGCGGUAAUACGGAGGGGGCUAGCGUUAUUCGGAAUUACUGGGCGUAAAGCGCACGUAGGCGGACUGGAAAGUUGGGGGUGAAAUCCCGGGGCUCAACCUCGGAACUGCCUUCAAAACUCCCAGUCUUGAGUUCGAGAGAGGUGAGUGGAAUUCCGAGUGUAGAGGUGAAAUUCGUAGAUAUUCGGAGGAACACCAGUGGCGAAGGCGGCUCACUGGCUCGAUACUGACGCUGAGGUGCGAAAGCGUGGGGAGCAAACAGGAUUAGAAACCCCUGUAGUCC
rnacentral:rRNA from 1 species